rnacentral:tRNA from 1 species
GGAGAGAUGGCCGAGCGGUUUAAGGCGAUAGUCUUGAAAACUAUUAUAGGGAAAACCUUAUCGGGGGUUCAAAUCCCUCUCUCUCCA